UAGGGAAUCUUCCACAAUGGACGCAAGUCUGAUGGAGCAACGCCGCGUGAGUGAAGAAGGCUUUCGGGUCGUAAAACUCUGUUAUUGAAGAAGAACGUGCGUGACAGUAACUGGUCAUGCAGUGACGGUAUUCAAUCAGAAAGUCACGGCUAACUAUGUGCCAGCAGCCGCGGUAAUACGUAGGUGGCAAGCGUUGUCCGGAUUUAUUGGGCGUAAAGCGAGUGCAGGCGGUCUUUUAAGUCUGAUGUGAAAGCCUUCGGCUUAACCGAAGAAGGGCAUCGGAAACUGGGAGACUUGAGUGCAGAAGAGGAGAGUGGAACUCCAUGUGUAGCGGUGAAAUGCGUAGAUAUAUGGAAGAACACCAGUGGCGAAGGCGGCUCUCUGGUCUGUAACUGACGCUGAGGCUCGAAAAGCGUGGGUAGCAAAAC
rnacentral:rRNA from 1 species